rnacentral:rRNA from 1 species
AACGAACGCUGGCGGCAUGCCUAACACAUGCAAGUCGAACGAGACCUUCGGGUCUAGUGGCGCACGGGUGCGUAACGCCUGGGAACCUGCCCUUAGGUUCGGAAUAACUCCCCGAAAGGGGUCCUAAUACCGGAUAAUGUCUUCGGACCAAAGAGUUAUCGCCUUUGGAUGGGCCCGCGUUGGAUUAGCUAGUUGGUAGGGUAAAAGCCUACCAAGGCGACGAUCCAUAGCUGGUCUGAGAGGAUGAUCAGCCACACUGGGACUGAGACACGGCCCAGACUCCUACGGGAGGGAGCAGUGGGGAAUAUUGGACAAUGGGCGAAAGCCUGAUCCAGCAAUGCCGCGUGAGUGAUGAAGGCCUUAGGGUUGUAAAGCUCUUUUACCCGGGAUGAUAAUGACAGUACCGGGAGAAUAAGCUCCGGCUAACUCCGUG